AUUCCAUGUUGUUUUCCAAUAGAUCUUUUCACACUCGAUGUUGAAUACAUGGCUCUUUGCAGAUGAAUAAAACAAGUGCAUUCAGUUUAGAGAUCCAUUUUGCGAAGGCUCAUUCGACUGAAGGAAUCUCUGUGGCAGGUGACAGGCAAUACUGCCUUGUAUAACUGAGGGAUCUUUCUGUUGAUCAGUGGCUGUAGGGCCUCUUUAAGGCGAUGAUAGUUUCUCUCCAGUUCCCUUUGAUACUCCUUUUGAUCCGGC
rnacentral:lncRNA from 1 species